rnacentral:lncRNA from 1 species
GAUCCUAGGGUCGGAUCGACUAGGUAUAAACAGAUAAGCUUCCAAAAAAGAGGGAGCACAACUCCCUAUUACCAAUGUGCAGAAACAUAACUUCAGGAAGUUUCAUUCUUGUGCUUUUUCCUAAUUCUAAAAUUAGAAAUUUGAUUUUGAUCCAUUCUGGAGCAUCUUCUAGCUUUCUUAGGGAGAUCUUUCCAUUCAUCAAACAAGACAGUAGUACCGUCUAAUCUCCUCCACCCAUUGAGCUAAUUCCCAUGGAAUAACAUUCCUGUCAGUUAGCAUAUUUACAACAAGCAACGAGUCCAUUUCCAAAAUGAUGUUACUGUGAGCUUGUUGAUUGCACCAAUUAACUGCAAAUAAGGCUGCUUGCACCUCAGCUUGAUAGUUAGUGCAUGAAUGGAGUUCUUUUUGGCAAAAGCCAUGAUCAAAUCUCUAUGUAUAUCCCUCUCACAAUACCAUCAGUUUGGUCAGCUGAGUUACUGCUACCAUCUGUAUUAACUUUUAACCAAUUAAGUGGAGGUUUUUCCCAACCAACUGGUGCAAUAGUUUACAUAGGUCUGGUGCUCUCUAGAGCAUUACAUAAGCCAUAAGGUAUGCCAGUUCCAUUUUAAGUCAAUUGGAGCACAAUCUUCUUUUAAUGGAUUUUCAGAUGAAAAAGAAUUUCCUAAUUUGUGAGGAUACAUGCUUUCAACUUAUUUUAUGAAGGAGCCUUUCUCCCUGACUAGCUAUUCGUUAUACAAGUUAAUCACGACCAAUUUUGUUCCAUCAACUAUUUAUACUGAUUAGCAUACACAUUUCAUCAUAUUUAAGCUUUCAACCUAUUAGAACUAUUGAACCUUUUUUCUCCUUAUAUUUAUUAUUACUAAGAUGGGUUUUCAUUAAUGAUAAGACCAUAUAUAUAUUGAGCGUGUAGACAAUUUUUAACCAUUAAUUUAUGUGUGAUUCAACGAGUGACCUCAAAGUUUCCAACUAGCAUAUGGAUUUGAGUGCAUGAAAUUAAGAGCCAUCGUGAGGUCACUGGUUUUGAUCCUUCUUCAAACUUGUUCCUUUAUUCUUCCUUCAAAAACUACUCUAGGCUUGUUGAUUUUACUUCAUUGUUACCUUUUCCUAUACUAUAACAUGUCCCUUGACAACCAAAUACUAAAGUUAAUAAAAAAAACAGCAACGAGCUAGGUGGACCUGAUACCACAUGUUCUUAAGGCAUGGGGAAAUGAGGUUCUUGUUUAAUUUGUCUCUGAUGCUUAGACUCUCUACUAGUGUUUGACUGGGUUUGUUUAGAAACAAGAUUUCUUCUAUUCAAAUUAAUGAAUGUUGGGCUCACUGGUUUUUAAUCUUACAAUACUUGUGGGACACGAAACUAGUAGUAUUAAAUUUUCUAUAUAGUAACAAAAAAGUUCCCAACAUACAGUAUACUCUGGUGUAAUGUAUGGCAAUCCAUGUUGCUGUCUUUUUUCAGAAGAUUUGCUGUAGCUCCUAUCCCUAUCCCUCUAUGCUUACUUUGUAUUUCUGUUUGCACUUUCUGCUUGGCAACAUAAGACUGGAGGAGAAAAAAGAAACUAAACUCCCUCCUUUCUCUCCGUUUGCACACAUCACUCCUGUCAAGAAAUUAAAUUAAUUAAAAGAAUAAUUUGACUGAUUUAUUCUUGUUUAUUCUUUAAUCUCAAAUUUAUUAUUACUACUUACUUUCACCAAAUUAUUUCUCCACAUUUAGUAGAUUAAGGGUUAAACAAUUUAAUAAAAUUAUCUCUCGUGUUUUCUAAAACGACAAGUGUUUUGAAACUUGUAAGUAAAUCGAGGCUACCUGAUUUCGUUCUUCGAUGGAAAAGGUGAUGCCACGUCGAGAGGCCAGGACGCCGAGCUCGGGGUCGAGGUUCCUUUCCAAUACCGAGGUUGAGGUCGAUACUAUUUGCCGAGGUCGGAAGAAGGCCCACUUCGAGAUAAUACCGUUGUGAUUUAGUAACAGAAAGCAAGAUACCCGCAAUGCCCGAAGAUCACGACGUAAAUUCUGGAACAGUUCGGUCCUUGGAGGUUAGACAGCUAUCCAAUAUGAUUCCCUUACUGUAAUUAGAAAUGCACCUUAUUUAGAACUCCUCUAUUAUAUAAAGGGCUCAUUCAUUUGUAGCGCAUUGUUCAUUGACAAGAGAAUAUACAUUCAUCACUUUCUUGCUUACUAUUCAUCAGAAUUGUCUUAUAAUUUGUUGUUCUUACUAGCACACCUCCAGACUGUCAUAGUUCUACGUCGAAAUUUGGCUUGC